UCGCUACUACCGAUUGAAUGGUUUAGUGAGGUCUCUCGAUUGGACCCGGUCCGGGCGGCGACGUCCGAGCCGGCGUCCGAGAAGACGAUCUAACUUGAUCAUUUAGAGGAAGUAAAAGUCGUAACAAGGUUAGGAUCAUUA
rnacentral:ncRNA from 1 species